CAGGGCUAUUCGGGAUUAAGUAGGGCAACAUGGAGAAAGGCCAUUAUAAACACUAAAAGUUAAGAAUUUCAAUAUUUAGGUCUUUCUAUUCUUGAAUAGUCUUGGCUGUUAAAAUACUCACAGA